rnacentral:lncRNA from 1 species
UUUUGAGGAUGGUGACGGGCAGCACUGUGAAGAAGGCACAUAUUUGAUUGCUGUAUGCAGGCCUCUGAAGAUCCCUCUUCUCUGUCUUCAGCCGUUUCCUGUACUGUACCAUUUGCCGAAAGAAUUUUAAUCUUCCUUUUACUCUAACGUAGGGCCAUUUUGUGUGUCCUGGUUUGAGCUUUCGAUACUUGCAGCUUGGUUAUGAUGUCUGUUCUGAUAGAAUCCUGGGGAGAACACAGUGAGGAGCUUGAAUCUUGAGUCUCAAAAACCAUGAUCGGGUUGGGAGAAGUAGGCUGGUUUGCAAUAGCCUUCUCUGUCUCAAAACUCUGUCUGUUGGUAGAACUGUCAUCUUCUCCCAUUAGAAGACCAUUGCUGGUAGCAAGUCUUCCUUUUCUUCGAUUCAAAAGCUUUUUAUAUGGAUGAAACGUCAUGAUUUCUGGAAAGAGAGUCUCAAUUGGCAAAGAUGUAGUAUAUGUCUCUCAGCCCCUGUGCUGAUAAAAAGAAGCAUCAAAAGUAUCCACUUCACUCCUGCAUUCGGUCACGAAAGCAGCUUGGGCUUGACUAGUCUCAGAAUCAUCAUCUUCUUCAUCUUCCAAUUGUGGGCUAAAAGAGUUCAUACUUUACUCUAUUGUUCCAUAUGCGGGGUAGUUUAGAUGAUCUAUCUCCUGAAUAUUGAUGAUGUAGUCCCUCCCUUCCAUU